rnacentral:lncRNA from 1 species
UUGAAGAUAUCAACAGAUGUGAAACCACACUGAGAGCCAUAAACCCCGGCAACCACAGCGAUAACGUGAUGACGUUCCCCGCUGUUCCUGAGCAAUAUGCGGAAGAUGAUAAAAAGAGAAUGGCGGAAAGCAUUAAAGGCUUACUCGAUGCAUCGGACCGGGUGACGGUUAAGUUUGCAGAAUAUUUGGUUCAAAAAGCAGCUUUUGAUUCAGUGUUACCAUGCAUCGAUCCAGAGGAAAUCGUACUGCUCAAUUUCAUAGGAAUGUCAAACCAUGGGACGAUAUUUGCAGCAAGAUGGCUAGACGUACCUGUGAUGGUGAAAGCCCUUGGAACAGGAAAUGAAGCUGAAAAGCUCCUGAAGGAGCUUGACAAGCGGCACGCAGAACUUAUAAACAGG